CAGCAAUGCCGCGAUGAGUGAAGAAGGCCUUCGGGUUGUAAAGCUCUUUUGUCAGGGAAGAAACGGUAAGGGCUAAUAUCUCUUGCUAAUGACGGUACCUGAAGAAUAAGCACCGGCUAACUACGUGCCAGCAGCCGCGGUAAUACGUAGGGUGCAAGCGUUAAUCGGAAUUACUGGGCGUAAAGCGUGCGCAGGCGGUUUUGUAAGUCUGUCGUGAAGGCCCCGGGCUCAACCUGGGAAUUGCGAUGGAGACUGCAAGGCUUGAAUCUGGCAGAGGGGGGUAGAAUUCCACGUGUAGCAGUGAAAUGCGUAGAGAUGUGGAGGAACACCGAUGGCGAAGGCAGCCCCCUGGGUCAAGAUUGACGCUCAUGCACGAAAGCGUGGGGAGCAAACAGGAUUAGAUACCCUGGUAGUCCACGCCCUAAACGAUGUCUACUAGUUGUCGGGUUUUAAUUAACUUGGUAACGCAGCUAACGCGUGAAGUAGACCGCCUGGGGAGUACGGUCGCAAGAUUA
rnacentral:rRNA from 1 species